UUUAAAAUACAUAAAAUUUUAACUAUUUUGAGUAUUUUCAUACAUAAUAAUAUAAAAAUAUCAUAAUUCAAUAAACUAUUUCAAGAGAUAUAAUAUAUUAAUGUAUACAUUCUUUUUUCAUUUUAUAUCUAUGAAUUAUUUGUUAUGUUAUGGAAAAAUCAAAAUACUAGAUAUUAAUUGUUUUUACUAUUGUAUUUUAUUUAAAAAAAUUAAAUACUUCAAUAAUUAUCACAAUAAAUCUAUUUACUAUAUUUAUAAAUAAAAUUGUAAUUAAUAUUAUAUAAUAAGAUCCGUAAUAAUUGAUCCGCUUUCACCAUUCAACAUUUAUUUGGAACCGCUUGAUCCGCUCUUGUUCCGCUAGAACCGUUUGAUCCAAUUGAUAGAUCAUAUGGAUGAAGAUUGUGAUAGAGCAUAUGGAUGAACCAUAACAUGCAAUCCGACCAUCAAAUCAUUUACGAAUUGUUUCAUUUACUCUUCUCGAGACACAAAACAAACAUCAAAUCAAGUUAAUUAACAACAAUCUCUUUUUCUAUUGUAGAUGAAGAAGAAUUUAUGAUGAUACUUCUCUGUCGAAAAGCAAAAAAAAAACAGAAAACAAGGUAAAAUUGUCGAAACUGUUGGAGAUCUUUUUUGCUAUGCUAUCUUAUUUGAAAUGGCAGUCAAGUGUAUUUAUAACGGGUUUUCUAAUUCAAACACCAUGGUCUCGGGAUGAGGGUAGUUCCUAAAAACUCAUUGCGCUUCAGCAGCUUGUAGUACUCGUUUCGAGUUGCACACUUCUCUGAUUCCAAAUCAUCACCACCUCCUCUCUCUGUUUGAUCAGCUUCCUCUCGUGAAGCCAUUUCUUCCUCAGAGUCUUCAUCUACAAGUUCCAACCUCCUCCCCACGGGCUUUUUUCCUCGAGUGAUGUCUGCCUUGUUCCUUGAGAAUUCUCUUGCAGAGGACUUACUCGACCUUCGGGAUCGAGUAUUUCCAGCGGGAGGGCUGAAAGUUUCUUCUUCUUCCAUCACUUCCUCCUCUUGGCUUGAUUCGCUAUGAUCGAUCUCGAAACUUGCUUGUUCUCUCCUUCUCGACCCCUUAGGUGAUGGUUCAGAAAGUCCUCGAGCUGCUGCAUGCGAAGAAGGUGUUGGGUACCUCUUCGAUGGGGAGAGAGUUCUGUUCCGGAUCCUUGACAGGAGCGCGCGCCUGUUUGUCAUUGAGAAAGAGAGACUCAAAGGUUAAGAGAUCGAGUGAUGAAGAAAAUAGAUGUAUUAUGUUGAGUUUUUGAUAGAAAGCGGAAGUGCAAGAAAAAGAGAUAGAGAGAGAGAUAUAAGAAUUCGAGAUUGCUUUGGUAUGAGAGGUGGAGAGAUGAGGUUGUUGAGUUCGGGAAUUGCAAUGGGGGGACCAAAGCAACUAUGGGGGGUUAAGAAGACAAAGAGACAACAUCGUUUCAAUGGAGGCGGGUCACGAGGCGUCGGAGUCCAGAAGGUGGUCUCUUUGGUUUCUUCACUUGAUCGGACAGUGGAGAAUGCUUCGCUUUUAAUCACUCGAUCAAACGGACCAGAAUAAACCUCAAGAAGUCACUCGAUCAAACGGUAGUGAUGCUUCUCUCAUUUGGUCAUUCAAAUCACCGGCUUAAAGCUCUCUUCCGCACUUUACUCGAUCAACGGUUGAGAUGAUUGUUGACUUGUUUUGAAUUUACUCGACUGUUGACUUCCUUAGGGUCAAUAAAACAAACCUGAAACACUUAAACAAAAACAUCAAAAAUAACAAAAAAGAUAGAAAGUUAUAUACAUGGAUAGACAUGGGACUUCC
rnacentral:sRNA from 1 species